GGAUGUUAGGGAGAUCUGGCUGCGACAUCUGUCACCCCAUUGAUCGCCAGGGUUGAUUCGGCUGAUCUGGAUGGCUAGGCAAGUGUCCCCUUCCUCCCUCACCGCUCCAUGUGCAUCCCACCUGAAGCUGCGCUCUCCAUCAGAGAGGAUGACCAUCCCCACUAGAGGAGGGCUGGUCUUUGGUCAAGGGUAUGAGUAGCUGCACUCCCCUGCUAGAACCUCCAAACAAGCUGUCAAGGAUGCUAAGAACAACAGAAGGAAAGAAAAGCAGAGC
rnacentral:snRNA from 1 species